rnacentral:rRNA from 1 species
GACGAACGCUGGCGGCGUGCUUAACACAUGCAAGUCGAACGAUGAAGUUCCUUCGGGAAUGGAUUAGUGGCGAACGGGUGAGGAACACGUGAGAAACCUGCCUUUCAUUUUGGGAUAACUCCGGGAAACCGGGGCUAAAACCGAAUACUCCGUCUCGGCGGCAUCGCUGAGCCGGGAAAAAAUUUUGAUGAAAGAGGGUCUCGCGGCCUAUCAGCUAGUUGGUGAGGUAAUGGCUCACCAAGGCAACGACGGGUAGCCGGCCUGAGAGGGCGACCGGCCAGACUGGGACUGGGACACGGCCCAGACUCCUGCCGGGGGCAGCAGUGGGGAAUACUGGGCAAUGGGCGCAAGCCUGACCCAGCGACGCCGCGUGAGGGAUGAAGGCCUUCGGGUUGUAAACCUCUUUCAGUAGGGAAGAAGCGAAAGUGACGGUACCUAAAGAAGAAGCACCGGCUAACUAUGUGCCAGCCGCCGCCGUAA